rnacentral:rRNA from 1 species
UACGAAGGGGGCUAGCGUUGCUCGGAAUGACUGGGCGUAAAGAGCGUGUAGGCGGCCAUGUAGGUCCGUUGUGAAAACUCGAGGCUCAACCUCGAGACGCCGAUGGAAACCAUGUGGCUAGAGUCCGGAAGAGGAGAGUGGAAUUCCUGGUGUAGCGGUGAAAUGCGCAGAUAUCAGGAAGAACACCUGUGGCUAAGGCGGCUCUCUAGUACGGUACUGACGCUGAGACGCGAAAGCGUGGGGAGCGAACAGG